rnacentral:misc_RNA from 1 species
GAUGAAGAACUCAGCGAAAUGCGAUACGUAAUGUGAAUUGCAAAUUCAGUGAAUCAUCGAGUCUUUGAACGCACAUUGCGCCCCCUGGUAUUCCGGGGGGCAUGCCUGUCCGAGCGUCAUUGCUGCCCUCAAGCACGGCUUGUGUGUUGGGCCCCGUCCUCCGAUCCGGGGGACGGGCCCGAAAGGCAGCGGCGGCACCGCGUCCGGUCCUCGAGCGUAUGGGGCUUUGUCACCCGCUCUGUAGGCCCGGCCGGCGCUUGCCGAUCAACCCAAAUUUUUAUCCAGGUUGACCUCGGAUCAGGUAGGGAUACCCGCUGAACUUAAGCAUAUCAAUAAGCGGAGGA